UUAAGCAAUGAAGGGCGCACGGUGAAUGCCUUGGCACUAGGAGCCGAUGAAGGACGCGACGAACAGCGAUAUGCUUCGGGGAGCGGUAAGUACGCUAAGAACCGGAGAUUUCCGAAUGGGGGAACCCGAUACGGAUAGACCCGUAUCACUCGAAAGAGAGGUAGACGCAGAGAACUGAAACAUCUAAGUACCUGCAGGAAAAGAAAAUAAGAAUGAUUCCCUAAGUAGCGGCGAGCGAACGGGGAAGAGCCCAAACCAGCGUGCAUGCACGUUGGGGUUGAAGGACUCCAGGAAAGACUGAAACACUUAGUCGAAGCCCAUGGGAAGGGGCGGCGAAGCGGGUGAGACCCCCUUAGACGAAAAGUGAGACAGCUUAGGAGUAUCCUGAGUACGGCGGGACACGAGAAAUCCCGUCGGAAUCCACCAGGACCAUCUGGUAAGGCUAAAUACUCCCUAGUGACCGAUAGUGAACCAGUACCGUGAGGGAAAGGUGAAAAGCACCCCGGGAGGGGAGUGAAAGAGUACCUGAAACCGUGUGCUUACAAGUAGUCAGAGCCCGUUAAGGGGUGAUGGCGUGCCUUUUGUAGAAUGAACCGGCGAGUGACGAUUUGUGGCGAGGUUAAGUUGAAGAAACGGAGCCGAAGCGAAAGCGAGUCUGAAUAGGGCGAGAGUCAAAGGUCGUCGACCCGAAACCAGGUGACCUACCCAUGUGCAGGUUGAAGGUGUGGUAAGACACACUGGAGGACCGAACUAGGACAUGUUGAAAAAUGUUUAGAUGACGUGUGGGUAGCGGAGAAAUUCCAAUCGAACUUGGAGAUAGCUGGUUCUCUCCGAAAUAUAUUUAGGUAUAGCCUCAGAGGAUGAGAGAUGGAGGUAGAGCACUGUUUGGACUAGGGGCCCACACGGGUUACUGAAUCUAGAUAAACUCCGAAUGCCAACUUGUUAACUCUGGGAGUCAGACGGCGAGUGAUAAGAUCCGUCGUCGAAAGGGAAACAGCCCAGCCCACCAGCUAAGGUCCCAAAGUACUUGUUAAGUGGAAAAGGAUGUGGGGUUGCAUAGACAGCUAGGAUGUUGGCUUAGAAGCAGCCAUCAUUGAAAGAGUGCGUAAUAGCUCACUAGUCGAGUGACCCUGCGCCGAAAAUGUACCGGGGCUAAACAAGACACCGAAGCUGUGGAUUUACUUUAGAGUAAGUGGUAGGAGAGCGUUCUAUGUGCGGCGAAGGGGUACCGUAAGGAGCCUUGGAGCGCAUAGAAGUGAGAAUGCCGGUAUGAGUAGCGAAAGAUGGGUGAGAAUCCCAUCCACCGAUAGACUAAGGUUUCCAGGGGAAGGCUCGUCCGCCCUGGGUUAGUCGGGACCUAAGCAAAAGCCGAACGGCGUAUGCGAUGGAUAACAGGUAGAGAUUCCUGUACUUGGGAAGACGUUUGAGCAAUGGAGGGACACAGGAGGUAAGUCCACGCAGGCGGAUGGAAGAGCCUGUAGAAGCAGUGAGUGUGCGAGUGAGUCAAAUGCUUAGUCGCAGAAAGCAUGAGCUGUGACCUGGAGCGAAGUAAAAGUAGCGAAGGUGGAUCAUCAAACUGUCGAGAAAAGCUUCUAGCGAGUCGAACCAACCCGUACCGCAAACCGACACAGGUAGUCAAGUAGAGAAUACUGAGGUGAGCGAGAGAACUCUCGUUAAGGAACUCGGCAAAAUGACCCCGUAACUUCGGGAGAAGGGGUGCACACGCAAGUGUGCCGCAGUGAAUAGGCCCAGGCGACUGUUUAUCAAAAACACAGGUUUCUGCUAAAUCGAAAGAUGAUGUAUAGGAGCUGACGCCUGCCCGGUGCUGGAAGGUUAAGAGGAGUGCUUAGCUUCGGCGAAGGUACGAAUUGAAGCCCCAGUAAACGGCGGCCGUAACUAUAACGGUCCUAAGGUAGCGAAAUUCCUUGUCGGGUAAGUUCCGACCCGCACGAAAGGCGUAACGA
rnacentral:rRNA from 1 species